GUCUACCGUCUACCUCCUCCUCCGCGGCCGCCGCUCCUCUCGAAUCCCUUGCGGAGCUGCGCCUCACCCUUCUCCCCCGCGUCAUCCGCUGCGACCUCCGCAUCUUCCACUGCGAGAACCCACUCCGACCGAAUGGAUCUACUGGAAGGUGUCGCCGUGUCGGUGACAGAGCCGGAUGCCGCUGGCCGUGACCGUGAUCUCCAGCUCCUGCUCCUCAGUCCUCAUCAAGAUGAAGGUGUUGUUUACCUGAUGACCAGGAAGAAAUACAAGCAACCCAAGGCACGGGUUCUCGCUCUUCACACGAGGAACAAGACACUGCUGGGCGCAUCUGAAAAGCCAACCCUGUCCACCUGCCAUGUAAUGCUCUACUUAGUGCCAUUGCCAACUAUAUGAAUCCAGAGACGGACACAAGUAGGUGAUAAAGAAGGAUGCCUAGGAUGUUCCUUAAAGCCUGGAAAUAAAAAUUGAUCUCACUUGAGGCUCGUCCGUUGGAUGAGCUCCUUCGAUGUUUCAAGUCUUCAAAGUGUGGAAUUUUCAUGGCUGUUAUAGGAGGCAUACAGAGCAUACCCAUGGGUGUGCUGACUUGUGAGUUUGUAGUGGAAUGCAGGUCAUGUCGGGGGUCAAAAAUCAACAAUGUAACGCGUCCUGAAUUUCUGUCAUGAUGAGAUCACAUCUAGACUUGUUUGCAAAAGGAAGCUUCCAUCUA